UUUCUUUGUGAGAGAAGGAGGUUUUGGUUAGAUUUGGAUUUGUGUGUUUUUCAACGCCUUUUGUAUUCUAUAUUUUAUCAGUAAAUUUGGUUUCCCUUUAUCAACCUUGUCACGACAAGACAAAAUAGAAAUGGCAUUUCAUGCGACACCGAAAAAUGGCAGACUUUCGUUAUUUACCCGUGCUUCAAUCCUACCAAUCAUAAUUGUCACCAUCUUUCUUACGCAAAUGGUUUUGAUUGACGCAGAUCACAAUUGGAGGGUGGUUGUUCGAAAAGUUAACCCUCACCCUCCUCCCCCUCCAAUACUAGGAGAGCCCAUACAUGUACUUCCAAAACCACCUUUGCACCCACCAUACAACCCUAAAAGACCACCACCACCGCCACCGUCACGGCAGCCACCACCACCAGCAGGGGGCACCCACUGAUAGACUUGUACAGUUCCACAUGGAAUCAUAAGUCCAGCAGCAUCCCCUAGUAGUCCACAUAUUUGCUUGUUUUGAAUGUAAAAGGCAGCAUUAUAUUGUUCAGGGAAUGAUUUAUUAUUUCAGUGGCAAUGAUAGAAUGUGGUAAAUGGUAAUUGUAGCUACACAUAUCUCCUAGUGUUGUUGGGUAGGGUCCAAGUGGGUGGCAAGUUGAAGAUUGAAGACAAUCAACCCAAGAUACUUAAAGUCCUAAGUUAAAUAUUUGGAAUAACGAUUUUAUUUUAUUUGAUUCAGAAAAUUGUAAAGGACUCUUAGAAUUUUCAAAAAUAAUAUAAUUCGGUCUGAAAAAAGUUUGAGUUAA